CCAGACUCCUACGGGAGGCAGCAGUGGGGAAUAUUGCACAAUGGGGGAAACCCUGAUGCAGCGGCGCCGCGUGAGUGAAGAAGUAUCUCGGUACGUAAAGCUCUAUCAGCAGGGAAGAAAAUGACGGUACCUGACUAAGAAGCCCCGGCUAACUACGUGCCAGCAGCCGCGGUAAUACGUAGGGGGCAAGCGUUAUCCGGAUUUACUGGGUGUAAAGGGAGCGUAGACGGCAGCACAAGUCUGGAGUGAAAUCCCGGGGCUUAACCCCGGAACUGCUUUGGAAACUGUGCGGCUGGAGUGCAGGAGGGGUAAGCGGAAUUCCUAGUGUAGCGGUGAAAUGCGUAGAUAUUAGGAGGAACACCGGUGGCGAAGGCGGCCUGCUGGACGAUGACUGACGUUGAGGCUCGAAAGCGUGGGGAGCAAACAGGAUUAGAUACCCCCGUA
rnacentral:rRNA from 1 species